GUCUACGCCCAUACCUAGGUGAACACCAGUUCCCGUCCGAUCACUGCAGUUAAGUGAAAACGUCUGAGGGUCUCGUUCAUACUAUGGUUGGAGACAACAUGGGAAUCCGGGUGCUGUAAGCU
rfam:Schizosaccharomyces cryophilus OY26 unplaced genomic scaffold supercont4.3, whole genome shotgun sequence.